rnacentral:rRNA from 1 species
UACGUAGGGUGCAAGCGUUGUCCGGAAUUAUUGGGCGUAAAGAGCUCGUAGGCGGUCUGUCGCGUCUGCUGUGAAAACUCAGGGCUUAACCCUGAGCUUGCAGUGGGUACGGGCAGACUAGAGUGCGGUAGGGGAGACUGGAAUUCCUGGUGUAGCGGUGAAAUGCGCAGAUAGUCAGGAGGAACACCGGUGGCGGAAGG